rnacentral:rRNA from 1 species
UACGGAAGGGGCAAGCGUUGUUCGGAAUCAUUGGGCGUAAAGGGCGCGUAGGUGGUUCUGUAUGUCUACCGUGAAAGCGUACGGCUCAACCGUAUUUUGUCGGUAGAAACUGCAGGACUUGAGGCUGGGAGGGGCUGGUGGAAUUCCCUGUGCAGCGGUGAAAUGCGCAGAUAUCAGGAAGAACACCUAUGGCGAAGGCAGCUCUCUGGGACGGUACUGACGCUGAGACGCGAAAGCGUGGGGAGCGAACAGG